UGGGCGAAAGCCUGAUCCAGCAAUGCCGCGUGGGUGAAGAAGGUCUUCGGAUUGUAAAGCCCUUUCGGCGGGGACGAUGAUGACGGUACCCGCAGAAGAAGCCCCGGCUAACUUCGUGCCAGCAGCCGCGGUAAU
rnacentral:rRNA from 1 species